AUAUCUGUAGCUUAGUGGUUAUAGCAAUGGGCCCAUGACUCAUUAAUUUCAGUAGUUCAAAUCUACUCAGAUAUA
rfam:Babesia microti strain RI apicoplast complete genome